GCUGAAAUAGCUCAGUUGGUAGAGCAACGCACUCGUAACGCGUAGGUCGCAGGUUCGAUCCCUGUUUUCAGCA
rnacentral:tRNA from 1 species